UUCGAAUGGGGCUCUAAAACU
rnacentral:piRNA from 1 species